CCAGAACGUAAGCCAGUAAGCAACAUUCUCCCACAGUCUCUGCUUCAGCUCCUGCCUCCAGGCUUCUGCCUUGAGCUCCUGAUCUGACUUUCCUCAGUGAUGGACUGUAACCCCCUUAGGUUGGAUGUCAGACUCCUAUUCCACUUUGCACGGAAGCAUGUCAGUCAUUCAAGGAGUGUCUACAAACACAUGACAGAAGGAGGUUCAGCCCUAACUUAUCUAACCCUCUUCAGGCUGAAGACCAAAAGAUAAGCCUAAGGAGGUAGAAUAAAGCAUUAGUCACAGACUGCUCCUGCUUAGGCUCUGAAACCUGUGAGGGAUCUGGAGAAUGCUGGAGUCUGGCUUUUAACUGAGAGCGUCAGAGGAACUGAGAAAGGCUGAGAGGUAGCUGACCCUCUGUCAGCCUGCGUCAUCUUCCAAGUCUGAGGGUUCUGCAGGCAGAGAGCCAGGCUGCAGGCCACAAACCCUUGGGUACCGUCUCACUUCUAACUUUGCUGAGUCUAAGGGUCUCCUUUUGAUCAAGAAGGCUUUAAAUAAUAAGAAAAUGGAACCCUGACACGAUUAGGUUGUUCUGGCUAUUGCAUCCAGCCUUUUGCUGCAAGCAGGUUACAACUUGAAACAACAAAAAGAAACCACACACCCAUCCUAAAUAAUGGUAACAGAAUUGAGUAGGAGGGGGAAAAGGAAACUAUGUAAUAAAGUAAAAGGGGAGAGAGUAACAAGGACACACCCUCCCCACUCCACCACCACCCUGCCCCUAGCCAGUGAUCCGCCCUUACUCCAAUGGUGUCAGGCUCCCUUGUCAAGGAUAGGCACAGAGGAAAGCAUCUCCCAAUAGCAGGCUGUAGCAAUAAAACCCAGGAUUGUACAAACCACCACUGCUCAGGACAGUUAAAGCAGUCUCUAGGAUGGCCUUGACAGGCAAGUAUUUCGAAGGGCCCUGUCGAUUUCAGCAUGCAGCAGUUUCAGGAAGCUCUAGAGAGGCCUGAGCACAAUGCAGCAAGGAAGACAACAGGAGUUUCUGGAGAGGGAUGGCUUCCCCUGAUGGAAAUCUCAGCAGUGUUCAAAACCCAGCAGAGGUGAGAUUUAGACUUGGAGGGUGGGGGUGGGAGGACGCUAAGUAGCACUUACAUACAAGCUUUUACCUGGACAUAUUUUUUAAAAAACUUCUCUUGUGUGUAUAAUUAGGAGAGGAAUUGCUGGGUCAUGUGGGAAGUUUAUCAUUCUCAAGAACUGCCCCACUCUUUCCCCAACUGGCUGCACUGUUUUAAAAUCCCACCUGCGGUGUAUGAGCCUUCCUAUUUCCUCAUCCUCAUCAAUGGUUGUUACUAUCUGUCCUUUUAUUGCCGCCACCCUGGAAGGAUGUGAUAUGUCUUUGUGAUUUUGAUUGGCAUUUCCCUGGCGAUUAAUAACUUGAGCAUCUUUUCUCA